rnacentral:rRNA from 1 species
AUUGAACGCUAGCGGCAGGCCUAAUACAUGCAAGUCGAACGGUGUAGCAAUACACAGUGGCGCACGGGUGCGUAACACGUAUGCAACCUACCUUACAUUGGGGGAUAGCCUUUCGAAAGGGAGAUUAAUACCGCAUAAGACAGUAACUGGGCAUCCAGUAGCUGUUAAAGAUUUAUCGAUGUAAGCUGGGCAUGCGUCCAAUUAGUUAGUUGGCGAGGUAAUGGCUCACCAAGACGAUGAUUGGUAGGGGAACUGAGAGGUCAAUCCCCCACACUGGCACUGAGAUACGGGCCAGACUCCUACGGGAGGCAGCAGUAGGGAAUAUUGGGCAAUGGGCGCAAGCCUGACCCAGCCAUGCCGCGUGCAGGAAGAAGGCGUUAUGCGUUGUAAACUGCUUUUAUACAGGGAGAAACGACCCUUGCGAGGGGCAUUGACGGUACUGUAUGAAUAAGCACCGGCUAACUCCGUGCCAGCAGCCGCCGUAACAC